UUUGUAUCAUACAGACUUUUGUUUGUGUCAUGGCCGCACGCACCUUCUUAACCACCGUUGGAAUACGAACGAGCUAUUACGAUGAGUUGCUAUAGUUAUUUAUUCAUUGCCAAUUGAUGCUCGACACUUCGUAUACGAACCCCUCGACAUUCUACUAGCAGGAAAAUUUUAUAAAUAAAUCCCAUUAUCCAUUGUACCUAUCGAUAUUUCAUUUAACGGUGAUGGUCAUUAAAAUUUGAGUUCAACAAUCUUUUUUUAGAAAGUGACAAACUUCACUUCGUUUCAGAGAAUCACACAGUAGCCGCCAUUGUAAUUCUACGUAUGUACAAAAGAGUUUGGCGCGUGCUAAAAACGUAACAAUUAAAUUAUCCAAAAAUGGAAGUCCAAGCAAUGGCUUAGGGAUUGUUUUGCGACACUAAAAGUGUGUAUGUAGCGAAAGGAAGAUUCGCCAAAUUCCAUUCUUUAUUAUCGAUCGUCCAAUUGAAUAAAGUCAAUGGAUAAUUAUCCUGGAUACGUGAGCGUAA